rnacentral:rRNA from 1 species
CCUACGGGUGGCAGCAGUGGGGGAUAUUGCACAAUGGGGGAAACCCUGAUGCAGCGACGCCGCGUGGGUGAAGGAGUGUUUCGGUGUGUAAAGCUCUAUCAGCAGGGAAGAAAAUGACGGUACCUGACCAAGAAGCCCCGGCUAACUACGUGCCAGCAGCCGCGGUAAUACGUAGGGGGCAAGCGUUAUCCGGAUUUACUGGGUGUAAAGGGAGCGUAGACGGCUAUGCAAGUCAGAAGUGAAAACCCAGGGCUCAACCUCGGGACUGCUUUUGAAACUGCAUGGCUAGAGUUCAGGAGGGGCAAGCGGAAUUCCUAGUGUAGCGGUGAAAUGCGUAGAUAUUAGGAGGAACACCGGUGGCGAAGGCGGCCUACUGGACUGUAACUGACGUUGAGGCCCGAAAGCGUGGGGAGCAAACAGGAUUAGAUACCCUGGUAGUC